GGCAGUGUAGUAUGGUGGUAAGGAGUAUGGCUUAUAACCAAAAGGUUGCUGGUUCAAUUCCCUGCUGUGGCA